UACAGAGGGGGCAAGCGUUAUUCGGAAUUAUUGGGCGUAAAGGGCGCGUAGGCGGCUUGGCAAGUGGAUGGUGAAAUCCCUCGGCUUAACCGAGGAACUGCCGUCCAAACUGCUUAGCUUGAGACCGGGAGAGGUGAGUGGAAUUCCCAGUGUAGCGGUGAAAUGCGUAGAUAUUGGGAGGAACACCAGUGGCGAAGGCGGCUCACUGGACCGGAACUGACGCUGAUGCGCGAAAGCGUGGGGAGCAAACGGG
rnacentral:rRNA from 1 species